CAGGGAUUGCCCCAGUAACGGCGAGUGAAGCGGCAACAGCUCAAAUUUGAAAUCUGGCUCCUAGAGCCCGAGUUGUAAUUUGUAGAGGAUGCUUUUGAUGCGGUGCCUUCCGAGUUCCCUGGAACGGGACGCCAUAGAGGGUGAGAGCCCCGUCUGGUCGGAUGCCAAAUCUCUGUAAAGCUCCUUCGACGAGUCGAGUAGUUUGGGAAUGCUGCUCAAAAUGGGAGGUAUAUGUCUUCUAAAGCUAAAUAUUGGCCAGAGACCGAUAGCGCACAAGUAGAGUGAUCGAAAGAUGAAAAGCACUUUGAAAAGAGGGUUAAAUAGUACGUGAAAUUGUUGAAAGGGAAGCGCCUAUGACCAGACUUGGGCCCGGUGAAUCAUCCAGCGUUCUCGCUGGUGCACUUUGCCGGGCACAGGCCAGCAUCAGUUUGUCUUGGGGGAAAAAGGCUUUGGGAACGUGGCUCCCUCGGGAGUGUUAUAGACCAUUGCAUAAUACCCUGGGACGGACUGAGGUUCGCGCAUCUGCAAGGAUGCUGGCGUAAUGGUCAUCAGCGACCCGUCUUGAAACACGGACCAAGGAGUCGUCUUCGUAUGCGAGUGUUCGGGUGUAAAACCCCUACGCGUAAUGAAAGUGAACGCAGGUGAGAGCUUCGGCGCAUCAUCGACCGAUCCUGAUGUUCUCGGAUGGAUUUGAGUAAGAGCAUACGGGGCCGGACCCGAAAGAAGGUGAACUAUUCCUGUAUAGGGUGAAGCCAGAGGAAACUCUGGUGGAGGCUCGCAGCGGUUCUGACGUGCGAAUCGAUCGUCAAAUAUGGGAAUGGGGGCGAAAGACUAAU
rnacentral:rRNA from 1 species